rnacentral:rRNA from 1 species
UAUGACCGGGUAUGAAAGUACCAUGUCCAUUCGGGGCUGCUGUACAGGUGCUGCAUGGCUGUCGUCAGCUCAGUGCACAGUGAGGUGUUUGGGUUAAGUCCACAGCAACGAGCGCAACCCACUACCAUUAGUUGCACAUCAGGUAAUGCUGAGCACUCUAAUGGGACUGCACUACGCAAGUAGUGAGGAAGGUGGGGAUGACGUCAAGUCACGCAUGGCCACAUUACGCACUAGGGCUACACACAGUGCUACAAUGGAUGCUACAAUGGGUUGCGAAACCGUAAGGUGGAGCCAAUCCACUGAAAAGUAUCACUCAGUUCGGAUUGGAGUUGCAACUCGACUUCAUGAAGUUGGAAUUGCUAGUAAUCGCAGAUCAGCAGCGACCGCAG